GAAAAGAUGGUUUACAUCCUAAUAAAAGUGGUGAUCUUCGCUUGGCCAAUUAUUUCUGUAGGUUUUUAAAGAAAUGCAUUUCUUCAGAUAAUGCAUCUCGAAAGAGGAAAAAUUGCCAGUUGAUCACCUCGGGAUAUAUUUUGGAUUCUUUGGAGUUUCCUCCAUUGCCUUCCUGUGAUCAGCCUUCAUUUUUAUCAUCAUGGCCACAGCAUUCUGGUUCUGCUGUGCCUUGUAGCGAGGUACCAACUUUUGUUGACCCAGUUCCUUCAUAUGUUUCUUCUUUUCCAUCAGCUUCUCAAAAGGAUCAAAAAUGCCAAUCAAUUGCUCCUAAAUUCAUUUUGGAUUCUACUGAGUUUCCUGCAUUGUCUUCCUCAAGGCAAUCUUCAUUUUUAUCAUCUUGGUCUAA